UACGGAGGAUGCAAGCGUUAUCCGGAAUGAUUGGGCGUAAAGCGUCCGCAGGUGGCUGUGUAAGUCUGCUGUUAAAGAGUGAGGCUCAACCUCAUAAAGGCAGUGGAAACUACAUGGCUAGAGUGCGUUCGGGGCAGAGGGAAUUCCUGGUGUAGCGGUGAAAUGCGUAGAGAUCAGGAAGAACACCGGUGGCGAAAGCGCUCUGCUAGGCCGCAACUGAUACUGAGGGACGAAAGCUAGGGGAGCGAAUGGG
rnacentral:rRNA from 1 species